UGUCAAACUCGUGAGUUGACUUGUAAAAUCGUGCGAUUUUACAAGUGAACACAGAUAUAAUGCGAUUUUACAAGUUAACACAGAUAUAAUGUGCGAAAUCGGGUAAAAAACUCGAAAAUCGGCAAACUUGAUCAAACUCGGUUAAAAUCAAUCAAAUUUAGUAAACUCAAACUGAGUUUACCAAGUUUGACAAAAUUUACCGCAUCUUCUCAAUCCUCUCCAUCCCAUUUGUCUCAUGGUCUCUAGUCUCCUCUCCUCUCCUCUUCAUCUUUGAUUCAUCAUCCCAUUUAUCUCAUGGGCUCCAGUCUCCAGUCUCCUCUCCAUCUUUGAUUUGAUUGUCUUCGCCUCUUCAAUCUCCAGUCUCCAAUAUACAAAACACCCAUGUUCAUGGAGACCCACGCAACACCAGUGAAGUGCAACAAUCACCAGAGAAGAAUAGAUUUGAGAUGGGCUAGGGGGUUGGGUUGCUAGGAGGAGCUUUGAUUUUUAAGGGUUUUCUUUUUUCCUCCGUAAUAACUGAGAUUGUCGGAAAAAAACUUGAACUAGAAGUAGAAUAGGAAUACAUAUUUCUCGAAGAAGGACGCUAAAGAAAUGCUUAUCUCAAGGCUAACA